rnacentral:rRNA from 1 species
UACUAGAGUAGCACUCGCAUAUCAAUAAGCGGAGGAAAAGAAACUAACAAGGAUUCCCCUAGUAACGGCGAGUGAAGCGGGAAGAGCUCAAAUUUGAAAUCUUAAAGGGUUUCCCUUUACGAAUUGUAGUUUAAAGAAGUGUUUUCUGUUGAGGUUUUGGUAAAAGUUCUUUGGAAUAGGACAUCAUAGAGGGUGAGAAUCCCGUAUUUGACCUUUACUUUCAACUUUGUGAUACACUUUCAAAGAGUCGGAUUGUUUGGGAAUGCAGUCCAAAAUGGGUGGUAAAUUUCAUCUAAAGCUAAAUAUUGGCGAGAGACCGAUAGCGAACAAGUACCGUGAGGGAAAGAUGAAAAGAACUUUGAAAAGAGAGUUAAACAGUACGUGAAAUUGUCAAAAGGGAAGCGUUUGACACCAGUGUUGUUUUUCUGAAAAUCAAUUAAAGAACUGUUUAUGCUAAGCUGUUUAGACUUUAUCAGCUAUCUGUUUAGUUUUAGGCUUUUCUUUAAUGCACUUUUCAGUUAACAGGUCAACAUCAAUUUCUUUUGCUGUAAAAAAGCUUGAGGAAGGUGGCUUGAGAUUCGUCUUAAGCGUUUAUAGCCUCUUGCCUAUGCAGUCGGAGAGAUUGAGGUCUGCAGCGUAGAUCCUUCGGGGCUAAAUGCAUUUGUGCUAAGUUAUAGCAUUUUAUAGACAACUUGUUGACUAUGAUUUGUCUUGUAGCUUACUCGCUUAUGUUAUUUUACCUACGCUUAGGAUGUUGAGUAGCGACAUACGCA